AGUAAAAUGUUUUCUGAUAAUAAUUUUAUUACUAUUUUAGAAAAAUUUAAUUAUCGGCGCAGCGACUGUCGCGUAAUUGCAGUCGCAAAUCGCUGACAUAAAAGCGACAGUAACUGUCAUCAAAUGACAUUUACCGAUAAGUUUUGUUUUUGUUUAGGUUGGGUCAAAUGUCAGUUCAAUGUUUUUUUUUGAGACUGAAUUUUGGGUUUUUAUGAAAUAAUGGAGGAAAAACCUAAUAUAAAUAACGGCGAUUAUUUUGAUUCGGAAGAUGAGAAAGAAUUUCACAAGCUAACCAAAGAAAACUCCAGCUUUUCUCACACAUUCCGACUUCAAGACAUUGAUGAAUUUCUAAAGUCUUUAGAAAAUCCGAAGAAAAAUAAAACCUGGUGUAAAGUAUGCGACAAAGAACUAAAAUCCAUUAUGCAUGCAAAAACUCACUAUACCUCCACCAACCAUUUAAAAAACUACCAGCAAAUAAGAGAGAAAUGGAUCAGCAGCUUAUUAGGGUCUCCACCUGAGGAACCUAAGAGUUAUUGCAAGAUCUGUAACCUUAUUAUUACUGGAGAAAUGUUAACAAAUGGUCACCUGGAUAGUGAAACACAUAAGAGGUAUGCAGAAAUGUUUUGUGCUAUAUGUGACUUAAGGUUGUCAUCAAAACAUGCAUUAUGGGAACAUGAAACUCAAUCACCCUUGCACUUAAAAGCUAAGAAGCUAAAAGGUUAUAUUUCCCUGGAAAAUACACCUUCUCAUAAAGCCGUUGGCCCUUGCGAAUAUCAUUAUGAAAAUAUAGACUAUAGUUCACCCAAAGACCUAGAAAAAGCAACUCAAGGAAGCCUAAUGGAAAGUCCAUCAAAAAGCGAUUCAGAAAGCGAUUUGCAAGACUAUGACGAAAAGUGCCAAAACUACUACUGUCCGGUUUGCGAUAUUCAGUAUUUAGCUGAUCAGUAUUAUCCGCAUAUGAACGAGUUUCCUCAUACUACUUUAGAGAUACUUAAAGAUCAAUAUUCACCUAGAAUAGUUCAGGCCUUUUGUUCUGUAACAGAAAAUAAAAAAGACAUCUUCUGCCUCUUGUGUAACAUUACAAUGCGUGGUCCUGCCGAUAUAAAAUCUCAUUUAAAUGGAGUGAAACACAUCAAGAAACUUAGAGGUAGAUUCCCUGAACUGUUUGACGAGGACGGAAAAAUAAAUCCAAAAAAGGAUAGACGCAGCUCUAGUACAUCUUUGAAGCAGUUGAAUGGUUUCGAAACAGUAUCCUCCUUGGGAAGUGACCAAUAUUCUUGUUAUCUUUGCAAACUUGAAUUUAAGAGUAAACUUGAAUUAAACGCCCAUUCAGUCUCCUUUCCACAUAUCGAAAUGGCGAAGUGGAAAUCUGAAGCAGUAUCUUUAGGAGUUCCAUAUGCAGAAUAUUGGGUGCACUCUAAAAACACAUUAACUUGCACUUUAUGUAAUGUGCAAAUAAGUAGUAACGCUGCUUCAAAAAUUCAUAUGAAUGAUCUAAAACAUAAAACGCAUUUGGUUGAGUGGUGUAAGGAGUUUGCUACAUGGAAGAAGGGCUGAACUUUAUUGUAAGACAUGCAAAGUAUCAAAUUCUUCGGAAAAAAUGUUAUUGGAACAUCAAAUGUCUAACAGGCAUAAAGAAAAUAUUUUUAAAGAAACUGUUGAUAAAAUUGAGAUCUGCCAGAA
rnacentral:misc_RNA from 1 species